GACUAUGGCCAUGCCACCCUGAACAAGCCCAAUCCCGUUUAAUCUCAUGAAGCUAAGCCGGGUUGGGCCUGUUUAGUACUUAGAUGGGAGACCACCUAGGAAGACCAGGUGCUGUAGGUG
rnacentral:rRNA from 1 species